UGGGGAAUAUUGGACAAUGGGCGAAAGCCUGAUCCGGCCAUGCCGCGUGGUUGAAGAAGGUCUUCGGAUUGUAAAGCACUUAAAGUGGGGGGGAAGGGCAGUAAGCGAAUACCUUGCUGUUUUGACGUUACCGACAGAAUAAGCACCGGCUAACUCUGUGCCAGCAGCCGCGGUAAUACAGAGGGUGCAAGCGUUAAUCGGAAUUACUGGGCGUAAAGCGCGCGUAGGUGGUUCGUUAAGUUGAAUGUGAAAGCCCCGGGCUCAACCUGGGAACUGCAUCCAAAACUGGCGAGCUAGAGUAGGGCAGAGGGUGGUGGAAUUUCCUGUGUAGCGGUGAAAUGCGUAGAUAUAGGAAGGAACACCAGUGGCGAAGGCGACCACCUGGGCUCAUACUGACACUGAGGUGCGAAAGCGUGGGGAGCAAACAGG
rnacentral:rRNA from 1 species